rnacentral:rRNA from 1 species
CCCGCUGAACUUAAGCAUAUCAGUAAGCGGAGGAAAAGAAACUAACAAGGAUUCCCCUAGUAACGGCGAGUGAAGCGGGAAAAGCUCAAAUUUGAAAACUGUGCACGAACAAUGUACAGUGUUGUAUUUGAAAGGGUGUGCGAAGGGAGAUAGAAAGGAUGAAGUAGGUCUUUUGGAAAGAAGCACCACAGAGGGUGAGAGUCCCGUUGGUUCAUUCAGCUAACCCCGUAACGCGCACGCCCGACGAGUCGGAUUGUUUGGGAAUGCAGUCCUAAAUGGGUGAUACGUGUCAUCUAAAGCUAAAUAGAGGCAAGAGACCGAUAGCAAACAAGUACCGUGAGGGAAAGAUGAAAAGCACUUUGAAAAGAGAGUCAAAAGUACGUGAAAUUGUGGAGAGGGAAACGCUGGCUUGAACAAGAAGAGGGUGAGGCUUGGUCGGGGAUUAUGAAGAGCGCCGGUGGAAGGUGGCUUUAAUCCACGUGAUUAAACGCAUUAUAGACACUGGUGGUGCGUGAUCUCUGACCGGGAGUGAGAAAUGUCUCGCAGGAUUCAAAUCGCUCACCAUGUUCAAAUCAUCGACCCGUCUUGAAACACGG